GCUGAAUGGAAACCAGUCGAAGAGUGAAAACGCAUAAGGGAGCUUGACUGUGAGACCUACAAGUUGAACAGAGACGAAAGUCGGCGUUAGUGAGCUUUCGGUUCCAAGUGGAAGGGCCGGAACUUAACGGAUAAAAGCUACCCCGGGGAUAACAGGCUAGUCUCCCCCAAUAGUUCACAUAGACGGGGAGGUUCGGCACCUCGAUGUCGGCUCGUCACAUCCUGGGGCAGGAGCAUGUCCCAAGGGUUGGGUCGUCCACCCAUUAAAGUGGCACGCGAGCUGGGUUCAGACCGUUGUGAAACAGGUCGGUCUCUAUCCGCUGUGGGCGUAAGGGAAUUGAGGAGAGCUGCCCCUAGUACGAGAGGACCGGGGUGGACGGACCAAUGGUGUUCCAGUUGUCGUGCCAACGGCAUAGCUGGGUAGCUACGUCCGGGAUGGAUAACCGCUGAAAGCAUCUAAGUGGGAAGCCAGCUCCAAGAUGAGUUCCCUCGCUAGGGUCAAACCUAGGUAAGUGCGCUGGAAGACGACCAGUUUGAUAGGCAGGGCGUGUAAGGGCAGAGAUGUCUUCAGCUAACCUGUACUAACGCACGAGGGCUUAAUC
rnacentral:rRNA from 1 species